GUGGGGAAUUUUGGACAAUGGGGGCAACCCUGAUCCAGCAAUGCCGCGUGUGUGAAGAAGGCCUUCGGGUUGUAAAGCACUUUUGUCCGGAAAGAAAUCGCGCUGGCUAAUACCUGGCGUGGAUGACGGUACCGGAAGAAUAAGCACCGGCUAACUACGUGCCAGCAGCCGCGGUAAUACGUAGGGUGCGAGCGUUAAUCGGAAUUACUGGGCGUAAAGCGUGCGCAGGCGGUUUUGUAAGACAGGCGUGAAAUCCCCGGGCUUAACCUGGGAAUGGCGCUUGUGACUGCAAGGCUAGAGUGCGUCAGAGGGGGGUAGAAUUCCACGUGUAGCAGUGAAAUGCGUAGAGAUGUGGAGGAAUACCGAUGGCGAAGGCAGCCCCCUGGGACGAGACUGACGCUCAUGCACGAAAGCGUGGGGAGCAAACAGGAUUAGAAACCCUAGUAGUCC
rnacentral:rRNA from 1 species